rnacentral:rRNA from 1 species
GACGAACGCUCGCGGCGUGCUUAACACAUGCAAGUCGAACGGUGAAGCGCUUUCCUUUUUGGUUGGUGUGGAUGAGUGGCGAACGGGUGAGUAACACGUGAGUAACCUGCCCCCUUCUUCUGGAUAACCGCAUGAAAGUGUGGCUAAUACGGGAUAUUCUGCGCCUGCUGCAUGGUGGGUGUGGGAAAGAUUGUGCCUUUGGGUGUUUUCGGUGGGGGAUGGGCUCGCGGCCUAUCAGCUUGUUGGUGGGGUGAUGGCCUACCAAGGCGGUGACGGGUAGCCGGCCUGAGAGGGUGGACGGUCACACUGGGACUGAGACACGGCCCAGACUCCUACGGGAGGCAGCAGUGGGGAAUAUUGCACAAUGGGCGCAAGCCUGAUGCAGCGACGCCGCGUGAGGGAUGGAGGCCUUCGGGUUGUGAACCUCUUUCGCCAGUGAAGCAGGCCUGCUCCUUGUGGGUGGGUUGACGGUAGCUGGAUAAGAAGCGCCGGCUAACUACGUG